UAGGGAAUCUUCCGCAAUGGACGCAAGUCUGACGGAGCAACGCCGCGUGAGUGAAGAAGGAUUUCGGUUCGUAAACCUUUGUUGUUAGAGAAGAACAGCGUAUAGAGUAACUGUUAUGCGUGUGACGGUAUCUAACCAGAAAGCCACGGCUAACUACGUGCCAGCAGCCGCGGUAAUACGUAGGUGGCAAGCGUUGUCCGGAUUUAUUGGGCGUAAAGCGAGCGCAGGCGGUCAAUUAAGUCUGAUGUGAAAGCCCCCGGCUCAACCGGGGAGGGUAAUUGGAAGCAGGUUGACUUGAGUGCAGAAGAGGAGAGGGGAAUUCGAUGUGUAGCGGUGAAAUGCGUAGAUAUAUGGAGGAACACCAGUGGCGAAGGCGACACUAUGGUCUGUAACUGACGCAAAGGUUCGAAAGCGUGGGUAGCAAACAGG
rnacentral:rRNA from 1 species